AUACGAAGGGUGCAAGCGUUACUCGGAAUUACUGGGCGUAAAGCGUGCGUAGGUGGUUGUUUAAGUCUGUCGUGAAAGCCCUGGGCUCAACCUGGGAAUGGCGAUGGAAACUGGGCGACUAGAGUGUGGCAGAGGGUAGUGGAAUUCCUGGUGUAGCAGUGAAAUGCGUAGAGAUCAGGAGGAACAUCCGUGGCGAAGGCGACUGCCUGGGCCAACACUGACACUGAGGCACGAAAGCGUGGGAGCAAACAGGAUUAGAUACCCUGGUAGUCCACGCCCUAAACGAUGCGAACUGGAUGUUGGGUGCAAUUUGGCACGCAGUAUCGAAGCUAACGCGUUAAGUUCGCCGCCUGGGGAGUACGGUCGCAAGACUGAAACUCAAAUGAAUUGACGGGG
rnacentral:rRNA from 1 species